CACCGCUGGACCCUUGACCUGGUUUUGUCUUUGCCCCAUGUCCCCAUGAACUUCCUGGUCCCCAGUUGACAGCCUCUAAGCCCCUGGCCUGUAGCUUUUCCCAGGCUUACCACCCCAUCCCCUUCAGCUGGAACAAGAAGCCAAAGGAGGAAAAGUUCUCAAUGGUAAUCCUUGCCCGGGGGUCUCCAGAGGAGGCCAGGCGCUGGCCCCGAAUCACGCAGCCCGUCCUUAAACGGCCACGCCAUGUGCAUUG